GAUCAACGCUGGCGGCGUGCUUAACACAUGCAAGUCGAACGAACUUUUUCCUUCGUUAGUCCCUUAGUGGCGGACGGGUGAGUAACGCUUGGGUAACCUUCCCUGUCCUGUGGGACAACAGCUGUAACCGGCUGCUAAUACCGCUUCAGCCCUUUGCACUGCAUGGUGCAUAUGGAAAAGGAGCAAUCCGGUUCAGGAUGGAACCGAGUCUGAUUAGCCAGUUGGCAGGGUAACGUCCUACCAAAGCGACGAUCAGUAGCCGAUCUGAGAGGAUGUACGGCGACAUUGGGACUGAGAAACGGCCCAGACUCCUACGGGAGGGAGGAGUGGGGAAUAGUGCAAAAUGGAGGAAACUCUGAUGGAGCGACGCCGCGUGAGUGAAGAAGUAAGGCGGGAUGUAAAGCUCUAUCAGCAGGGAAGAAAAUGACGGUACCUGACUAAGAAGCAACGGCUAAAUACGUG
rnacentral:rRNA from 1 species